GAUGAACGCUGGCGGCGUGCCUAAUACAUGCAAGUCGAGCGAACAGAUAAGGAGCUUGCUCCUUUGACGUUAGCGGCGGACGGGUGAGUAACACGUGGGUAACCUACCUAUAAGACUGGAAUAACUCCGGGAAACCGGGGCUAAUGCCGGAUAACAUGUUGAACCGCAUGGUUCUACAGUGAAAGGCGGCUUUGCUGUCACUUAUAGAUGGACCCGCGCCGUAUUAGCUAGUUGGUGAGGUAACGGCUCACCAAGGCAACGAUACGUAGCCGACCUGAGAGGGUGAUCGGCCACACUGGAACGGAGACACGGUCCAGACUCCUACGGGAGGCAGCAGUAGGGAAUCUUCCGCAAUGGGCGAAAGCCUGACGGAGCAACGCCGCGUGAGUGAUGAAGGUCUUCGGAUCGUAAAACUCUGUUAUUAGGGAAGAACAAAUGCGUAAGUAACUGUGCGCGUCUUGACGGUACCUAAUCAGAAAGCCACGGCUAACUACGUG
rnacentral:rRNA from 1 species